UAGUUUUUGUUAAAAAGUUCCACAAUUUUUUAUUGCAUUAGCAUGCAGCAAUUUUGAUUUGGUAAAUAAAGUCAACUGGUGCUCGAUGAUUGUCCUGAUAAGCUGUAGCUAUCCUGUGCAGUGUAUUGUUUGUGACCUACAAGCUGAUAAGAGCCUUUGAGCCUGUCAUACAUCAAGAUAAGUUUCUGAUCCCUUAUAAUAACAGUCAUACCAUGUUUGUAAUAAGAAAUCAUUAAUUGUAGCUAUCUAUCCUUAAACUUUGCUAUACCAAUUUUUUAGAACUUCGGAUUAGAGGUGUUCUCAACUGCUAUUUUGCUAGACUGAAAGUACUAGUGCUAGGUGGACCAGUUAGAUAUCUAUCUGAAAAUAGAGUUCUUGCUAGAUGGAUGCACUGCCUGAUGAGGUAUUAUAUACAUGUGCUGUACUGCAGAUUUUGUACUCUACUAAUCUGUAGAGAACAUGGAUAGAUAUAGAAAUGUACAACAUGGUUGUGGAUGUGAAUGAGAUGGGCGUCAAGCAUACAUGCAGAUUUCUGCUAGGUCAGAGAUGAAGAAGCAAGCUGUGUUGGAGGCGCAACUUGAACAUUUGCUGUGUCAAAAUGGACCGAGCAAAGCGUCAUGGUGGUAUGUUAGCUUUUGGUGGAACUAAGUUUUUGCAGGAACCAAACUUGUGUUUGUAAUUUUGCUGAAACCUAUCUUUUUUUUUGUUUCUGAUGCUACAAUGGACGGCAAGUGAUACUAGAUGAAAAAAAAUGUAUGUGAUCUGUUGAUUUAAUGCGAUGCUGAAUGGAAACGUGAUUCAUGUGAUGCUAUUA